AUUGAACGCUGGCGGCAGGCCUAACACAUGCAAGUCGAGCGAGCGGCGGACGGGUGAGUAAUGUCUGGGAAACUGCCUGAUGGAGGGGGAUAACUACUGGAAACGGUAGCUAAUACCGCAUACCAUCAGAUGUGCCCAGAUGGGAUUAGCUAGUAGGUGGGGUAAUGGCUCACCUAGGCGACGAUCCCUAGCUGGUCUGAGAGGAUGACCAGCCAAACGGGAACUGAGAAACGGGCCAGACUCCGACGGGAGGGAGAAGGGGGGAAAAUUGCAACAUGGGGGCAAGCCCGAUGCAGCCAAGCCGGGUGUAGUAAGAAGGCCUUCGGGUUUGAAAGGACUUUCAGCGGGGAGGCGUUAACCGCAGAAGAAGCACCGGCUAACUCCGUGCCAGCAGCCGCGGUAAUAC
rnacentral:rRNA from 1 species